rnacentral:rRNA from 1 species
UACAGAGGGUGCGAGCGUUAAUCGGAAUUACUGGGCGUAAAGCGUGCGUAGGUGGUUUGAUAAGUCAGAUGUGAAAGCCCCGGGCUUAACCUGGGAACUGCAUUUGAAACUAUUAGGCUAGAGUACGGUAGAGGGAAGUGGAAUUUCCGGUGUAGCGGUGAAAUGCGUAGAUAUCGGAAGGAACAUCAGUGGCGAAGGCGACUUCCUGGACCGCAACUGACACUGAGGCACGAAAGCGUGGGGAGCAAACAGG